GAUGAACGCUGGCGGCGUGCCUAAUACAUGCAAGUCGAGCGAGCAGACGAGGAGCUUGCUCCUCUGACGUUAGCGGCGGACGGGUGAGUAACACGUGGAUCACCUACCUAUAAGACUGGGAUAACUUCGGGAAACCGGAGCUAAUACCGGAUAAUAUAUUGAACCGCAUGGUUCAAUAGUGAAAGACGGUUUUGCUGUCACUUAUAGAUGGAUCCGCGCCGCAUUAGCUAGUUGGUAAGGUAACGGCUUACCAAGGCAACGAUGCGUAGCCGACCUGAGAGGGUGAUCGGCCACACUGGAACUGAGACACGGUCCAGACUCCUACGGGAGGCAGCAGUAGGGAAUCUUCCGCAAUGGGCGAAAGCCUGACGGAGCAACGCCGCGUGAGUGAUGAAGGUCUUCGGAUCGUAAAACUCUGUUAUUAGGGAAGAACAAAUGUGUAAGUAACUAUGCACGUCUUGACGGUACCUAAUCAGAAAGCCACGGCUAACUACGUG
rnacentral:rRNA from 1 species